GUGAAGCGGCAACAGCUCAAAUUUGAAAGCUGGCCCUUUCAGGGUCCGCGUUGUAAUUUGUAGAGGAUGAUUCGGCGAGGGCUCCCGCCUAAGUCCCCUGGAACGGGGCGUCAUAGAGGGUGAGAAUCCCGUAUGCGGUGGGCUGCCUUAGCCAUGUGAAUCUCCUUCGACGAGUCGAGUUGUUUGGGAAUGCAGCUCUAAAUGGGAGGUAAAUUUCUUCUAAAGCUAAAUACCGGCCAGAGACCGAUAGCGCACAAGUAGAGUGAUCGAAAGAUGAAAAGCACUUUGGAAAGAGAGUUAAAAAGUACGUGAAAUUGUUGAAAGGGAAGCGCUUGCAACCAGACUUGUCCGCAGUUGCUCAGCCGGUCUCCUGACCGGCGUACUCUUCUGCGGCCAGGCCAGCAUCAGUUCGGGCGGUCGGAUAAAGACCUCGGGAAUGUAGCUCCUCUCGGGGAGUGUUAUAGCCCGGGGUGGAAUGCGGCCAGCCUGGACUGAGGAUCUCGCUUCGGCAAGGAUGCUGGCGUAAUGGUUGUAAGCGGCCCGUCUUGAAACACGGACC
rnacentral:rRNA from 1 species